rnacentral:rRNA from 1 species
AACGAACGCUGGCGGCAGGCUUAACACAUGCAAGUCGAGCGCCCCGCAAGGGGAGCGGCAGACGGGUGAGUAACGCGUGGGAACGUACCUUUUGGUUCGGAACAACUCCGGGAAACUGGAGCUAAUACCGGAUAAGCCCUAACGGGGAAAGAUUUAUCGCCGAAAGAUCGGCCCGCGUCUGAUUAGCUAGUUGGUGAGGUAUCGGCUCACCAAGGCGACGAUCAGUAGCUGGUCUGAGAGGAUGAUCAGCCACACUGGGACUGAGACACGGCCCAGACUCCUACGGGAGGCAGCAGUGGGGAAUAUUGGACAAUGGGCGCAAGCCUGAUCCAGCCAUGCCGCGUGAGUGAUGAAGGCCUUAGGGUUGUAAAGCUCUUUUGUCCGGGAAGAUAAUGACUGUACCGGAAGAAUAAGCCCCGGCUAACUUCGUG